rnacentral:rRNA from 1 species
UGGGGAAUAUUGGACAAUGGGGGCAACCCUGAUCCAGCAAUGCCGCGUGUGUGAAGAAGGUCUUCGGAUUGUAAAGCACUUUCGACGGGGACGAUGAUGACGGUACCCGUAGAAGAAGCCCCGGCUAACUUCGUGCCAGCAGCCGCGGUAAUACGAAGGGGGCUAGCGUUGCUCGGAAUGACUGGGCGUAAAGGGCGUGUAGGCGGUUUACACAGUCAGAUGUGAAAUCCCCGGGCUUAACCUGGGAGCUGCAUUUGAUACGUGUAGACUAGAGUGUGAGAGAGGGUUGUGGAAUUCCCAGUGUAGAGGUGAAAUUCGUAGAU